CUACGGGGGGCUGCAGUGAGGAAUAUUGCGCAAUGGGGGAAACCCUGACGCAGCGACGCCGCGUGGAUGAUGAAGGCCUUCGGGUCGUAAAAUCCUGUCAGAAGGAAAGAAGUAUGUGGUAGCUAAUAUCUGCCAUAUUUGACGGUACCUUCAAAGGAAGCACCGGCUAACUCCGUGCCAGCAGCCGCGGUAAUACGGAGGGUGCAAGCGUUGUUCGGAAUUACUGGGCGUAAAGCGCGCGUAGGCGGCUGUUUAAGUCAGAUGUGAAAGCCCAUGGCUUAACCAUGGACGUGCAUUUGAUGCUGGGCAGCUUGAGUACUGGAGGGGGUGGUGGAAUUCCCGGUGUAGAGGUGAAAUUCGUAGAUAUCGGGAGGAAUACCGGUGGCGAAGGCGACCACCUGGCCAGAUACUGACGCUGAGGUGCGAAAGCGUGGGGAGCAAACAGGAUUAGAUACCCGCGUAGUC
rnacentral:rRNA from 1 species